rnacentral:rRNA from 1 species
UGGGGAAUAUUGGACAAUGGGCGAAAGCCUGAUCCAGCCAUGCCGCGUGUGUGAAGAAGGUCUUCGGAUUGUAAAGCACUUUAAGUUGGGAGGAAGGGCAGUAAGCGAAUACCUUGCUGUUUUGACGUUACCGACAGAAUAAGCACCGGCUAACUCUGUGCCAGCAGCCGCGUUAAUACAGAGGGUGCGAGCGUUAAUCGGAUUUACUGGGCGUAAAGCGUGCGUAGGCGGCUAAUUGAGUCGGAUGUGAAAUCCCCGAGCUUAACUUGGGAAUUGCAUUCGAUACUGGUUAGCUAGAGUGUGGGAGAGGAUGGUAGAAUUCCAGGUGUAGCUGUGAAAUGCGUAGAGAUCUGGAGGAAUACCGAUGGCGAAGGCAGCCAUCUGGCCUAACACUGACGCUGGGGUACGAAAGCAUGGGGAGCAAACAGG